rnacentral:rRNA from 1 species
UGGGGAAUUUUGGACAAUGGGCGAAAGCCUGAUCCAGCAAUGCCGCGUGUGUGAAGAAGGCCUUCGGGUUGUAAAGCACUUUUGUCCGGAAAGAAAUCCUUGGCUCUAAUACAGUCGGGGGAUGACGGUACCGGAAGAAUAAGCACCGGCUAACUACGUGCCAGCAGCCGCGGUAAUACGUAGGGUGCAAGCGUUAAUCGGAAUUACUGGGCGUAAAGCGUGCGCAGGCGGUUUGCUAAGACCGAUGUGAAAUCCCCGGGCUCAACCUGGGAACUGCAUUGGUGACUGGCAGGCUAGAGUAUGGCAGAGGGGGGUAGAAUUCCACGUGUAGCAGUGAAAUGCGUAGAGAUGUGGAGGAAUACCGAUGGCGAAGGCAGCCCCCUGGGCCAAUACUGACGCUCAUGCACGAAAGCGUGGGGAGCAAACAGGAUUAGAUACCCUGGUAGUCCACGCCCUAAGCGAUGUCAACUAGUUGUUGGGGAUUCAUUUCCUUAGUAACGUAGCUAACGCGUGAAGUUGACCGCCUGGGGAGUACGGUCGCAAGAUU